GCACUGCUUGAUCAGCAGAGCUGCAAGACCGAACAAAGAAAGAAGAUUCUAUGAGUAGAUUGUGCUCAAAUAAGGUCAGGUUUUUUGGAGACCGCCAAUUUUUGGGAGACCCUGGUCUUUUGAGGAGAUCGAUCCCAUGAUUGUGAUGACCCGAUCUUCUGAGGAAGGAACGGAGUCCAGUGUUAAAGAAAUCACUAUGGCUGAUCUGUGAUUUGUGAUGGCGAGCCACCCAGCUUGAUCUUCAUUGACAACUUCACGCGGAGGACAGAAACAUCAUCUGUUGGAACGACUGAACUUCUCAUCGUCACCACGGUGUGGUAGGACUGUAUCCACACAGGACAUAGGACACAGGACAAGACUUUCAAUCAAACGCACACACUUUGG